UGGGGAAUAUUGGACAAUGGGCGCAAGCCUGAUCCAGCCAUGCCGCGUGAGUGAUGAAGGCCCUAGGGUUGUAAAGCUCUUUCACCGGUGAAGAUAAUGACGGUAACCGGAGAAGAAGCCCCGGCUAACUUCGUGCCAGCAGCCGCGGUAAUACGAAGGGGGCUAGCGUUGUUCGGAAUUACUGGGCGUAAAGCGCACGUAGGCGGAUAUUUAAGUGAGGGGUGAAAUCCCAGGGCUCAACCCUGGAACUGCCUCUCAUACUGGGUAUCUCGAGUUCGAGAGAGGUGAGUGGAAUUGCGAGUGUAGAGGUGAAAUUCGUAGAUAUUCGCAGGAACACCAGUGGCGAAGGCGGCUCACUGGCUCGAUACUGACGCUGAGGUGCGAAAGCGUGGGGAGCAAACAGGAUUAGAUACCCCUGUAGUCC
rnacentral:rRNA from 1 species